GGAAUGGAUGCACAGACUCUACUCUAUACACACAUUUUCAAGAAAAAGCUCAUUCUGAUGAGAGUUUUAAGUUCUUUGUGAUAGAGAAGGUAAAACCCAUUGGAGACAAUAAAAGACUUCUUCUACAAAGGGAGUCUUUCUGGACCUUUAAAUUAAACUCUGUAUUCCCCAAAGGACUGAAUGAUAGGAUUGAUUUCACCUGUUAUCUUUAGUGAAUUGAGUAUUUCAGUUCACCAUGCAAGCCAUAGGGCACUUGCAACUUGAGAAAAAACACAGAGCCCUGCAAGAGUAACGACGUAAAUUGACUACAUUGAAAAGCCUUGAACUGAAGCAGGACCAAGCAAGUAAUUAAGAUUAAAGAGACAGCAAUACAUCCACAACAUACCGCAGAAGAUCCUGAGAAUCUCAGUAAGAAGAAAAAUACCAUACAUCAAAAGACUAUUUAAGACCUUACAUAAAUAACAACAACCUGAAGAAGGACUUCCCGAAACGAGGCAGUGUACCCGGGAUUACUUGUUGUUGCAUAGUUUUGUUCUACAUACACACAACAGCUGUGGACUGUUUUCCGUUGAGUUUGAUGUAUGCUUUACUUUAUAUGUUACUCAAUAAGGUUGUAUAAUUGUAUAUAUACCAUAA